rnacentral:rRNA from 1 species
GACGAACGCUGGCGGCGUGCUUAACACAUGCAAGUCGAGCGGUAAGGCCCUUUCGGGGGUACACGAGCGGCGAACGGGUGAGUAACACGUGGGUGGCCUGCCCUCAGCUCUGGGAUAAGCCUGGGAAACCGGGUCUAAUACCGGAUAUGACUCCAUGACGCAUGUUGUGGGGUGGAAAGCCUUGUGCGGCUGAGGAUGGGCCCGCGGCCUAUCAGCUUGUUGGUGGGGUGAUGGCCUACCAAGGCGACGACGGGUAGCCGGCCUGAGAGGGCGACCGGCCACACUGGGACUGAGACACGGCCCAGACUCCUACGGGAGGCAGCAGUGGGGAAUCUUGCGCAAUGGGCGAAAGCCUGACGCAGCGACGCCGCGUGA